rnacentral:rRNA from 1 species
GAUGAACGCUGGCGGCGUGCCUAAUACAUGCAAGUCGAGCGAACAGACGAGGAGCUUGCUCCUCUGACGUUAGCGGCGGACGGGUGAGUAACACGUGGAUAACCUACCUAUAAGACUGGGAUAACUUCGGGAAACCGGAGCUAAUACCGGAUAAUAUAUUGAACCGCAUGGUUCAAUAGUGAAAGACGGUUUUGCUGUCACUUAUAGAUGGAUCCGCGCCGCAUUAGCUAGUUGGUAAGGUAACGGCUUACCAAGGCAACGAUGCGUAGCCGACCUGAGAGGGUGAUCGGCCACACGGGAGCUGAAACACGGUCCAGACUCCUACGGGAGGCAGCAGUAGGCAAUCUUCCGCAAUGGUCGAAAGCCUGACAGAGCGACGCCGCGUGAGUGAUGAAGGUCUUCGGAUCGUAAAACUCUGUUAUUAGUGAAAAACAAAUGUGUAAGUAACUAUGCACGUCUUGACGGUACCUAAUCAGAAAGCCACGGCUAACUACGUG